rnacentral:rRNA from 1 species
AAUGGGCGCAAGCCUGAUCCAGCCAUCCCGCGUGCAGGAUGACUGCCUAUGGGUUGUAAACUGCUUUUAAUCAGGACGAACCUCGGGAUUUAUCCCGAGCUGACGGUACUUUUUGAAUAAGCACCGGCUAAUUCCGUGCCAGCAGCCGCGGUAAUACGGAAGGUGCAAGCGUUAUCGGAAUCACUGGGUUUAAAGGGUGCGUAGGCGGCGCAGUAAGUCAGAAGUGAAAGCUCACAGCUCAACUGUGGAAUUGCUUUUGAUACUGCUGUGCUUGAAUUAGGUUGAGGUUGGCGGAAUGAGUCAUGUAGCGGUGAAAUGCAUAGAUAUGACUUAGAACAUCGAUUGCGAAGGCAGCUGGCUAGACCUUAAUUGACGCUGAGGCACGAAAGCGUGGGGAGCGAACAGGAUU